CUACGGGGUGCACCAGUGGGGAAUAUUGCGCAAUGGAGGAAACUCUGACGCAGCCAUGCCGCGUGAGUGAAGAAGGCCUUAGGGUUGUAAAGCUCUUUCAGAUGUGAUGAUGAUGACAGUAGCAUCAGAAGAAGUUCCGGCUAACUUCGUGCCAGCAGCCGCGGUAAUACGAAGGGAACUAGCGUUGUUCGGAUUUACUGGGCGUAAAGAGCAUGUAGGCGGAUUGGUCAGUUGGGGGUGAAAGCCCGGAGCUCAACUCCGGAACUGCCUUCAAUACUGCCAGUCUAGAGUCCGUAAGGGGGUGGUGGAAUUCCGAGUGUAGAGGUGAAAUUCGUAGAUAUUCGGAGGAACACCAGUGGCGAAGGCGACCACCUGGUACGGUACUGACGCUGAGAUGCGAAAGCGUGGGGAGCAAACAGGAUUAGAUACCCGCGUAGUC
rnacentral:rRNA from 1 species